rnacentral:tRNA from 9 species
AAGGGCUUAGCUUAAUUAAAGUAUUUGAUUUGCGUUCAAUUGAUGCAAAGUGGAAUUUGCAGUCCUUA